rnacentral:tRNA from 1 species
GCGAGCGGCGUAGGUCAACGCGCUUCAAUGCGGCUUUUGGUACCGUCAUACGCAGGUUCGAAUCCUGCCGCCCCA